rnacentral:misc_RNA from 1 species
GAAAUGCGAUACUUGGUGUGAAUUGCAGAAUCCCGUGAACCAUCGAGUCUUUGAACGCACAUUGCGCCCUCUGGCAUUCCGGGGGGCAUGCCUGUCCGAGCGUCAUUACGCACCCUCAAGCCCGGCUUGUGUGAUGGGCCCUGGCGUCUCGUUCGCGAGACGGGCCCGAAAGGCAGCGGCGGCGUCGACCCGAUGAGCCCGAGCGUAUGGGGACUUUUGUCACACGUUUGCGGUGCGGACCGGCGCCUGCUUGACUUUUCUGAUUAUCCAGGUUGACCUCGGAUCAGGUAGGGAUACCCGCUGAACUUAAGC